rnacentral:lncRNA from 1 species
UGGUAAUAGAGGGGAGGUACGUGAGGCGACGUUGGCUCCCUCUGCUAGGAAUAUGGGAGCUGGGCACCCUGACACGGACAGCUCUAAGUGGAGGUAAUUAGAGGAAAGAGCCAACCAGCCGUGGAGGCUAGAUAAAAGGAGUAAAAUGGCACACCGCGGGAGAAAAAGGGGGAGAGACGGACCUCAGUUAACCUCUCUCGGGCAGGUCAGAUGCAUUGUGCCAUUAUCUUGGAGUGCCAACAGAAGAAGAUCAUCAAAGGUAAGGCAUUUUUUACAUCCCUAUUUCUGACUUUCGUGUCGCACCUGCCUGGUUGAAAUAUACUGCUCAAAAAAAUAAAGGGAACACUUAAACAUC